rnacentral:lncRNA from 13 species
CUUGCGCAGACCUACCUGCCUGCCCCCAUAUGCCAAUUGUUUAUGCCCAGGAACAUAUUUAAAGAUGCACACUUCCACACCCUUAAAUCUCAGCAGGAGGUCACAGGAAACAGAUGAAGAUGCAGGCAGGUUGAUUAGGAAAUAGUCGGCCUACAUUUCCCUGAGUGACGCGCCACACCGUCGCAACCGCCACCAUUAUGAACAACCAAUCAACAUCAUUUUCUGUAGAAAUCCCAAUUUGGACUUGAAAGAGGUUGCUACGGAAGCUGAUGGCUCCGAUAAGAGAGGGCGUAUCACUUGUCGCUUGGCGGAGCUUCCACCCCUCCUGAGUCGUGGUGGAGGCAGCCAUUCACACCGAGCAGCUAUCAAGCUCCAUGCAUGAAAUUGCCUUUUCACAUCAGCAAGUGGUGGAUUUGUAACAGGGCCUUAAGGAUAGCUUAUUUACUCACUUGUUUAUGGUGAAUCAAAGUGAGGCAAACUUUUCCUUUUUUUUUCUUCUUCUCGCUCGGCGUGGAAGCCUCUUAGCCGCGGGCCUUUCAUGGUGUCAGGGGCGGGGCCAAGGCGUUGCAUGUGAUUCCCUAUCUCCGGGAACCCCGCAAUUACAUCUGGCACAACUCUGCAUGAAAGACAGAAGACUGAAGACAGAAUGUGAUGUGUCGUCUCCCUCGCCAACACAAAGCCCCAGUGCAUUGGACACACCUUGGACGACACAAUGGAUGAAAAGCGCUGCGAGGCUUGGACAUGCAGGACCACGCUGCCAGAUAAAGAUGCUUCAAAAGUUGAGCCCUCCUCUCCUCGGCCGCUCCUUCUCCUUCUUCCCCGGAGUGACAGAAAAAAGGGAGAGAAAAAUAAAGAAAAUAUUCUAUUUACAUGUUCCUUUUAUUGUAUUUGCGUUCUAUGCCUGUGCAUAUAAAUGGCCAUGUGUUGCUGAGGAGAACUAGGCAGACAGAGAGUAAAUGUGUACAUAAGCUAUCGAUUAGUGUGUGUACGCAUGUUUUUGGGGAAUAGUAAAGGAUUAUCCAAAAACAUCCCCCGCUUUAAGGCUGGUGACCUAUUAAUGAACUCUGGAACCACAUCGACAACCCCCCCCCCCCCUCAUCUCUCUCCUCUCCCCACAGAGAGACUAACCACAUCUCAACAGGAUCACUCCAAAAUGCCCUCCAUUUUGUCUGCCGCCUCAAUCAAUCACGUUUGGCUGAAAUGGCCGGCCAGUGGUUUACAAGAGAUAGGGGGAGGAUUUCUGUGUGGACAUUUCGUGGCCUUGAUUUAUAGGCAUCGUUUUUGGUGGUAGGGAUAUUGUUCAAUAAAAUGUUUUAUCAGACAAUUCAUGUAGAGGAAAACCAUGAUCAUAAACACUAACAGUACAUCCCUCCCUCCCUCUAUCCCGCCCUGCCUCCCUCCAUCCCCCUUUCUCUAGCUCUAGUGUCUCCCUCUCCCUAUUUCUCUGCACCCCACCGAAUUUGUCAAAAAUGAAGUCAAAAAAGAGCUGACUUUUUCCCUGGUAGUAGCACCCCCCGUGCUUCUCCUUUCUCCCCCGCCGAAACAGAUGGCGUUUUAUGCUGAGCACAAUCAGGACUAUUCAGCGUCAGCCGGGCGAGCCCUCCCCACCUGCGCUCGGCUCCCAAUCACAACCUAAUGAACACAUUGGGAGCAGUCUGCUCCAAAUUACUCCCAGUAGGGGCCGGGCCCACAGGUACCCCCCCGCCCCAUCACCUAGUCCGCUCUCUCCCCCCUCACCGGUCC